UGUCUACUUAUACCUACUUUUCUUAUCAUAAUUGUAUUAUUAUAAAUAGCCCUAUUUGAAAAUCUUAUAACUCCAAAAGUGGCAAUGUUAAAUGUAUGAAUGUGCCCGGAGAAAACCACCAACCUUCCAUAGUAAAACUGACAAUCCUAGUUAAUUAAAAAUUGGAGCUGAGUGCAUGCGCACUAGCAGGGUUCAAACUCACAACCUCAGAGUUGACUGACUAGUGAUUACAGUAGUAACCACUUAUACCACUCGGCUACCAAGGCCCCUAAGAUGCUUUAGAGUUGAAGAGUAAAAGAUAAUCAAUUAAUGGCUGACAUUUUUUCUUACCCAUAAGUGAAUGAUUUUAAUUUUUUCUGUACAAAAAAAUAAUGGAAUUUUAAGAAGAAAUGUAU
rnacentral:lncRNA from 1 species